rnacentral:rRNA from 1 species
GAUGAACGCUGGCGGCGUGCCUAAUACAUGCAAGUCGAGCGAACGGACGAGAAGCUUGCUUCUCUGAUGUUAGCGGCGGACGGGUGAGUAACACGUGGAUAACCUACCUAUAAGACUGGGAUAACUUCGGGAAACCGGAGCUAAUACCGGAUAAUAUUUUGAAACGCAUGGUUCAAAAGUGAAAGACGGUCUUGCUGUCACAUAUAGAUGGAUCCGCGCUGCAUUAGCUAGUUGGUAAGGUAACGGCUUACCAAGGCAACGAUGCAUAGCCGACCUGAGAGGGUGAUCGGCCACACUGGAACUGAGACACGGUCCAGACUCCUACGGGAGGCAGCAGUAGGGAAUCUUCCGCAAUGGGCGAAAGCCUGACGGAGCAACGCCGCGUGAGUGAUGAAGGUCUUCGGAUCGUAAAACUCUGUUAUUAGGGAAGAACAUAUGUGUAAGUAACUGUGCACAUCUUGACGGUACCUAAUCAGAAAGCCACGGCUAACUACGUG